AAGAUUUUAAGUUAAAAAAACUAUUACCCUUCAAAGUUAAAAAUAAAUUAUUAUAAAUUUAAAUCUUA
rnacentral:tRNA from 1 species